UGGCAGCGCAUUCGCGAAUGUUCGGUGCGUGGGUGAAGAGGAAGACGAUCCUUGGAGUUCGUUCCAGCGCAAGUUUUCAGCCUAGCCAGAGGAAAUCCGAGCGUUGCCGGUAGCUCAAACAAAUAUCUGGUUUAUCUGUUCACCGUAUGUCAAAAUAAAAGACUUAUAAUAAGUAUGUCAAAAUAAGACAUUUCAAAUAACAUUUCAACAGUUUAACAUUGCAAAUUUAACAUCAUAUAUCUGAACCAAAUGAAUAACUUUUUAUUAAACCAAACCCUUUUUCCCAACUGGGUUACACCCU